UACGUAGGGGGCAAGCGUUGUCCGGAAUCAUUGGGCGUAAAGCGCGCGUAGGCGGCCAGAAAAGUCCGCUGUGAAAACUCGAGGCUCAACUUCGAGCUGUCGGUGGAAACUUUCUGGCUAGAGUCCGGAAGAGGAGAAUGGAAUUCCUGGUGUAGCGGUGAAAUGCGCAGAUAUCAGGAAGAACACCCGUGGCGAAGGCGGUUCUCUGGGACGGUACUGACGCUGAGACGCGAAAGCGUGGGGAGCGAACAGG
rnacentral:rRNA from 1 species